CCCCCCGCCCUCCCCCCGCCACACGGCGCUGCCCCGCGGUUUGCUCCAUGCGCAUCGCCGCAGCCCCGCCGGCUCCGGGGAAGUUCAAGAAGUUGGUUGGCCCCACUCCCUGCGAGUGCGCCAGCCCAAACACCGGUGUCUGCCCGGAAUAUUUCACCGUCGGGGAGCGGGAGGGGGGGGGGGNNNNNNNNNNNNNNNNAAAAAAAGCCCCCUCGGGCUCUAAUCUCCCAUGCAUCGUUACAACUGUCCGCAGCGAGGCGGGGGAGGCCGGGCUGCAAUUAGCUAUAGAGCCGCUCGCCUUGCAAACAGAGGGGCUCGGAUUAUUGCAAAUUCAUUUCUAUUUUCCAGGCCAGCGCUUGUAUUCUCUGUUAGCAUAAGAAUAGAGCCAGGCCCUGUGAACUCCUCCGACCUACUGACCCCUCUCCCCAGAAAUGAAUAGCAGCACUUUCCGUCCCCCCCCCUCGUCAGCCUCUCCAGCAGACUCGAGCCACGGCCUAAAUUCCUAAUCAGGGUAAUUUAAUAUAUCUUAAGCCCCUGGCUGCUUUAUUUUCGCUCCUUUUUUUAGUUUGUUUUAGGCAUUCACCGGCUCUCACCCCGUCAUUAGAGAUCCUUAUUUGACGGAUAUAAGAAGCUGUUAUGAGACUACAAGUCUCUUUUUAUCUUCUAAAUAAGCUGUGCUUCCCUGUAAUUAGAAUGGUAUUCCCAGCCUUUGAGGCCUUUCAGGACCGCCUAACAAAAAACUUGCAGGAGAUGAAUAAUCCCGAAGGACAAACUCCCGUCCCAAGCAAGGAGCUGGGAAAGCAGCAGCGCCCGGUGCGUCCUGCUCCGUGCUGUCCCCGUGUCCCAUUGUCCACUCAUCGAGGGCUCCCAUGGAACCCUCGGUGCGGUCACAGAGCCCCCUCCCCACCUCGCGGCCAUCACAGCCCAAACGCACCGGGCACCCCCACCCCUACCCCCUUCCCCGGCUCCGUGCUGCCGCCCCGUCCCCAUCCCGCAGAUUCCCGGCCGCCCCGUCGUGCCGUCGAGGGGAUCGCACCAGCGCCGCUCGGAUCUUAUUGGCCACCUCGGGCUGACGACGUGCUCCCAGGCCCUCCCGAUUGGCUCUGCUCUGUGGCAUCACGAUUGUUCGACGGGGCUCCCCGCCGCGGGGGGGUCGGUCCCAAAGAGAUUUACCCCGGCCCGGCUCGAAUAGUGCAGCGGUGGGAGAGAGAAAGAUCUCAACUCACAACACUUCCCUGCGUCCUUCCGCACCGGCCAAAUAGGCAAACAGAAUCACAGGGACGGGUGGCUGAACUCAGGCACGGUGGGGCAGAAUGCCCCGGGAUUCACCACGUCUAUCAGCACUGCAAACUUCAAAGCUGCCGUGCAGCUGCUGCAGCACAGUGUGGGGACAGGGAUGUGGCUGCCAGGGACACGGCUGGGGACACAGCGUGAUGGUGAUGGGUGCGGGCCGGUUCUGCCCUGAAAUUAUUUUUAAAGGAAAGCAAGGUGGUUUUUAAAUAGUAGGAGAAAUAAUGUGUUUUCUUGUAACCCUUUUUGGUGCUGGAGGAGUGAGAAGAUCUUUUCCCUGAGAGUGGAGGCCAAGGAUGCAAGAUGCAUCUGCGUCUCCUUUUUUACCUCAAAAUGAGGAUUGUGGAGGGGGUCCUGGGUAGCCCUGGGCUGGAAGGGUGUCCUUCUGCAUUGUACUGCCCUGACCCACCUACAUUGUGCUGUGGCUUGGCACCGUGUCCAGAUGGUGCCUAAUUUGGGGAUGUAAUGCUCAUAUUAAAGCAGAGUGGCAAAGGCAGCAACGCUCCACAAGACGUUGCAGGCAUUCAUCCCAGCAAUGCCUGGUUCCUCCUCACUCCCCUGCUACUAGGAUGGUAGUAUGGGCAGGUUGUGGUUGAACUUGAUGAUCUUUAAGGUCUUUUCCAACCUGAGCAAUUCCAUGAUUCUAUUAUUUUUAUUAUUAUUAUUUUGAAAGGAUUUGGGGACACUACAUCAACAAAUACACCUAUAAACAUCCACCUCCACAGAGGUGCCCAGUAUUGGCUAUGGAGACGUGUGGUGAUGUUUGCUCCUGAUGCUGAUGGAUGGGUGAGGAGGACCCUGACGGGACCGCAUGGCUCCCAUCAGCUACAAUAGUUGGGGGAAGAAGGAACCUGACAUCCUGUAUUUGUAUAAAUCACACCCAUAAUAAACAGGGGGAAAAAAAAUAAAUGAAGGGGAGA
ensembl:lncRNA